rnacentral:rRNA from 1 species
AGUUUGAUCCUGGCUCAGAUUGAACGCUGGCGGCAUGCUUUACACAUGCAAGUCGAACGGUAACAGGGUGCUUGCACCGCUGACGAGUGGCGAACGGGUGAGUAAUGCAUCGGAAUGUACCGUGUAAUGGGGGAUAGCUCGGCGAAAGCCGGAUUAAUACCGCAUACGCCCUGAGGGGGAAAGUGGGGGACCGAAAGGCCUCACGUUAUACGAGCAGCCGAUGUCUGAUUAGCUAGUUGGUGAGGUAAAGGCUCACCAAGGCGACGAUCCGUAGCGGGUCUGAGAGGAUGAUCCGCCACACUGGGACUGAGACACGGCCCAGACUCCUACGGGAGGCAGCAGUGGGGAAUUUUGGACAAUGGGCGCAAGCCUGAUCCAGCCAUGCCGCGUGUCUGAAGAAGGCCUUCGGGUUGUAAAGGACUUUUGUCAGGAAGGAAAACCUAUUGGCUAAUAUCCAGUGGGGAUGACAGUACCUGAAGAAUAAGCACCGGCUAACUACGUGCCAGCAGCCGCGGUAAUACGUAGGGUGCAAGCGUUAAUCGGAAUUACUGGGCGU